rnacentral:piRNA from 1 species
UACUGGAGCCUCAUGACGAAACACUGC